rnacentral:rRNA from 1 species
CCUACGGGUGGCAGCAGUGAGGAAUCUUUGUCAAUGGACGAGAGUCUGAACCAGCCAAGUAGCGUGAAGGAUGACUGCCCUAUGGGUUGUAAACUUCUUUUAUAUGGGAAUAAAACAGGGUAUGCAUACAAUCUUGUAUGUACCAUAUGAAUAAGGAUCGGCUAACUCCGUGCAAGCAGCCGCGGUAAUACGGAGGAUCCGAGCGUUAUCCGGAUUUAUUGGGUUUAAAGGGAGCGUAGGUGGAUUGUUAAGUCAGUUGUGAAAGUUUGCGGCUCAAACGUAAAAUUGCAGUUGAAACUGGCAGUCUUGAGUACAGUAGAGGUGGGCGGAAUUCGUGGUGUAGCGGUGAAAUGCUUAGAUAUCACGAAGAACUCCGAUUGCGAAGGCAGCUCACUGGACUGCAACUGACACUGAUGCUCGAAAGUGUGGGUAUCAAACAGGAUUAGAUACCCCUGUAGUC